AUAACGACUCUCGGCAACGGAUAUCUCGGCUCUCGCAUCGAUGAAGAACGUAGCGAAAUGCGAUACUUGGUGUGAAUUGCAGAAUCCCGUGAACCAUCGAGUCUUUGAACGCAAGUUGCGCCCAAGCCUUUUAGGCCGAGGGCACGUCUGCCUGGGUGUCACG
rnacentral:rRNA from 1 species